rnacentral:rRNA from 1 species
AUUGAACGCUGGUGGCAUGCCUUACACAUGCAAGUCGAACGGUAACAGGUCUUCGGAUGCUGACGAGUGGCGAACGGGUGAGUAAUACAUCGGAACGUGCCCGAGAGUGGGGGAUAACGAAGCGAAAGCUUUGCUAAUACCGCAUACGAUCUCAGGAUGAAAGCAGGGGACCGCAAGGCCUUGCGCUCACGGAGCGGCCGAUGGCAGAUUAGGUAGUUGGUGGGAUAAAAGCUUACCAAGCCGACGAUCUGUAGCUGGUCUGAGAGGACGACCAGCCACACUGGGACUGGGACACGGCCCAGACUCCUACGGGAGGCAGCAGUGGGGAAUUUUGGACAAUGGGCGCAAGCCUGAUCCAGCCAUGCCGCGUGCAGGAUGAAGGCCUUCGGGUUGUAAACUGCUUUUGUACGGAACGAAAAGACUCCUUCUAAUAAAGGGGGUCCAUGACGGUACCGUAAGAAUAAGCACCGGCUAACUACGUGCCAGCAGCCGCCGUAAAAC